UUGUAAUAAAUCUCGAACUGUUGACUAAUAGAUAUUAUGUAUAAGUAGACUAUAUUAUAAUGUUAUAAAAUACUCGUCCACACAAAAAAUAUUCACCCAGAUCGUUUUUCGAAAGAAUGAUACAAUUUAUAGAAAUAAAAAAUAUUUUAUAAUUCUUAAUUGUAGUUAAUAUGAAUUUAAAACACUUACAUUAACUUUUGAACAUAGUUUUUUUUAACUAUUAUUAUUAUCGAAAGGGGAAAUUGCGGGCAAGGUUACAAGUUCACGGUUGUCGACAAUUGAUUGAAAACAAAUCGUAUAACUGAAAACUAAAUGAUUGCAGAGAAGGUUGGGUUACAUACCAGCUACUUCAGUACCCCUAGGCCCCGAGUCAAGAGUCUGCGGCUUAAAUGGGUGCAGACUACAGGGUGUACGAUGCAUGGUCGGAUGUACCAACAGAAGUGUUUACGCGCGGUUUGCUACAAUAUACCUAUGCGUCAUCCAUUGGUAAGGUUAUGAUAUUUUUUAAGUACUAAGGUAUAUUAUAUAAAGUUCUGUACGUCCAUACUUAAUAAUAUUUAAUUUGAAGAUUUAUAUAUAGCAGGGGCGUCAAAUGAUUUUCUCAUUAGAACAUAUCAUGACGAAAUUACCCUUGGGGAACUGGCCGCCCACACAAUAAAACAUUUCAAAAUAUAUUAAUUCCUUCAAGUAUCUAUCAUGUAAUUGUUUUAGUUAAUGAAAUACGUAUACACAAUUUAAUCGCAUAUUUUUGCGUGAUUAUACCUACUGUUUUAUUUAGGCAACUUUAAGAAAUAAUCGUUUUUAAAAUCAAAAUAUUGUUAAAAUAUUUUGGAAAUUUUAAUUCUUAGUUUACUCUUUAAUAUUUAAAUUCUAGUAUCUAGGUAGUCAUCAUUAAUAAGACUAUAGCAACUAAAUAAAAUAAAACUGGUAAGUAUUUGAUAAAAAUUGAAAAACAAAGAGGGAGAUCACUGAUCAGACAAAUAACAAUCGUAGUAAACAUUGAUAAGAAAACAUUGUCAAAUCAUAUUUCAUAAUAUGACGAUACAUCUUAGUACAUUCUUCAACCAAGUCCUUAGACCGUGAUUAUUGGUUAAUAUCAAGGUCUCGUAUUAUGUGUAUAGCGACUUUUCGAAAAAAGUUAACGACAACAAUAAUGUAGUAUAAUCAAUGCGGUAUUAUAUUAUUAUAUUUUAAUAUCAAUCCCUUAUUAUCUCGGUCUUUAUCAUAUUAAAACGAUCGAGUGAUGGUUUUAUAGUAAUAAUAAACGGUGUGCUAGGUAUUUGAUGAUAAAAAAAAUCGUUGAGGGCUCACACUGCUCACAGAAUGCUAUAGUACAGGUUCCCGAAACGAGAGACUCGAUCGCCAGACGUCUACCACGCUUGUUGUACGUUUUUAAGUUUCUGUUAUUUUUUUCUUUUAUGUUUAUUCGAGACUUAAUAUACUAUAUAUUCGUUUAAUGCAAUUUACGUAGCUAUGCAGGUACAACACGGUGGUCAGAGGUGAUCGUCGACGGCGGAUUUAUUAUGAUUUCACACCACGGCUGCACGUGUACAACAAACACGAAAACAACCCGACUAUAAUAUAACUUACUAUGUACGCGAUGCACAUCUCGAAUUCCAUAAGCAGCUAGCGAUAAGACCGCAGCGACCUCGAAGCCGAAUCGGGAAAAAGGCAGAUAAUAUAUACAAUGUGUUUAAUAUAUAUAUAUAUAAUUACGCAUGUACAGGUACGUAGCCUAUGAUUCUCUUCUUUUUACAUAUAUAAUAUAUAUAACAAAAUAUUUAUUAUAUAUCGGUCCAAUUAUGGUAAAAACUACUAUAAUAUUAUAUAUAUAUAUAUUUACGUAUACUGUCUGUGCCGUCUGUUACUCGGUGCACUUGACCCAGUUUCAAAGUACCAGCCGCCGCGCGCAUGAAUACCUACACCAAUAAUAUAAUAUUGUGUACCAGCUACGGUUCGUUCUAUCUAUACGUCCAAUAUAACAAACAUUAUGCCGCGGUACAUUAUUAUUAUAUAAUAAUGCAUUAUAUAGUAUUAUCGUUUUUUAAAAUUUUUUUUAAAAUUUUUUUAUGUAUAAGUACGGUUUAUCCAUAUAAUAGGCUAAUCUUGUGGGUAUGGAACUCGAAGGGUGUAAAGCCCUCCUCCAAAGGAUGGUAUCACUUUCCACCACCAUGAUGGUUUAGUCCGUUAUCUAUUCGACUUAUAAAUUAUAAUGUUUAUGAAAUGUUUAACACUAAAAUAAAAUAUUUAGGUAGAUACAUUAAUAUAUUAUCGCCUAUUUAUCUAUUUACUUUAUUUACGUUUAUAUAUCUCAUAUACUUCAGAUUUGGGAACAAAAAAAAUUUAGUUAGCCAAUUGUAAGUUGAAGCCUGCUUUAUUUUGAUAAUGAGUAAAAAUUUCAGCUUCCUACAUGACUGACCAAACAAUACGAGUUUACCUAUAAUUCCUAAGUAUGAUAUCAUAGAUUUGACGUAAAUCAUAAUAUACAACUAUAGAUUGCCACAUAAUAUGAUUUAUACAUUAAAAUACUGCACUCUUUAGAUUCUUGCAACCGCCGAUUUUCAUUCACGAGAUCAUGAUGCAGUGCAAACCUAAGGCUAUAAUAUAAGCAAUCGUCGUCAUAUUCAAACUCACGUUUCUCACCUCCAGUGCGACUAAAAUAAAAACCUCUACUUACACAAAUUCACUGCAAUAGUGUCAACUAUAGUAACUAUUAUAGAUAAAUAUCAUUCUGUCUUAAAAUAUAAAUGAUAGACGUUACAAAAGUAUGUAUAGCUCAUUGUGCUAUAUUGUUAUUGAAUUUAUAGUUAUAGACUAUAAUAGUUUACACUGUUUACAGUAAUAACGUAAUUCAUUAAAAACAAUUCAAAUAAUUUAUAAAAUAUUAAUAUUAUUUGGGUUAAUUUAUUAGUAAUGUGUAAAUUCACUUUUUGAAAAAUUAACUCAAAUCUAUAUAUUAUACAAUACGAGUAGGUGCCAUGAAUGUAUAUGCAUAUGCCAUAUAUCGUUAUACAUAUUCAUAGGUGUAAAUAUAUUAUGUUAAGCAGUGAAUAAUGUACACUAAAAUUCAAAAUCUUUUAGGUAUCAAAUACAUAUUUAUUUACCUAAUUUCCAUAUAUUUUAUGAUGUCGAUUUUUAAUGUUUUUCUAUCAUCUGCUAAUGCUAAUUAUAUUAUACAGUUUACUAUGGAGAAGUGUUUGCACGAAUAAAUAUGUAAAUCGAAAAAGUAUAAUAAUAUUAUAUAUUAUUCUAAACUGAGUGUGGGUGACUACCGAGUGAGUAUAGAAUGGUAUUCAUAUUUAAAAGCAAUGAUGAUAAAUCAUAAUUUUAUUAUACAUUUACUACUCGUUUGUAUAAUAUUUCACACAUUAAUACAUUAUACAUUGUUAUUUACAACUAUCUGUUGAACAAGGAACAAUAAAAUAUUCCAUUUAAAAUUAAUCCGACUAGAACCGUGUAAUUAUAUAAUUUUAUGGCAAUAUGUUUUUGUAAAAAUAUUCCUUUUUCAAAAACAUACAACAUAAACACGCAAUAUAGACAAUAUAGUUUGUGUUUCGACUAGCUGACUUUUUUUUAAUAAAAGGAAAAUAAUUGUUUUAAGAAAGUAACGUAACACGUGUGCGGGUUUAACAAAAGUUUGAAAUCCAACUGUGUUGCAUGACAAACUCAUUUUUAGCAACAUGACAAGUUAAACAAUAUACUAUAUAGUAGGUACCUACCGGAUCUAUACCAUUGUUAAGGUUAAGGUCGAUAAUUAGUUGAAGAACCUAUAGUAAAUAAAAUAUAAAUCAAUAAUGGAGACAAAGGAAUAAGGAAGAGAAAGAAUUCAACAAAAAAAAUUAUAUUUUUACGCUUCAGAAAAACUAUUGGUAUAAUUCUAUAUAUAAUAAACAAUUCAUAAAAACGCUACUAUAAUAGUCCUUUACUAAAUUUCAUCAUCGAGCUUCUCAAACAUAAAUUGUGUUCUGAGUUUAAUAUCGAUGGUACAAAAUUAAAUUAAAACAAAAUAAUGAUGUUUUAAACAAAUAAAUAAAGAUACAUUUUUCUUAAAAUAUAUGAA